ensembl:lncRNA
GGCCCCUCCUGGACCUACCGAAGCAGAACCUCUGGGGGUGGGCCCUGGCAUCUGUGCCUUAUCGAGUUUUCUGGUGAUUCGUAUGACUGUUAAGGUUUGACAAGCACUGACCUACAGGGGUGCCCCACCUCUGCCCAGGAGCACUCCCAUCUCCGGAUCCUACAGGAGGCCUCCCAGUACUUCCUACCCCCAGGGCAAACCAAUGACAAGACCCAUCAGGUACCAGAUCAAAAGGGGCAAUAGACUUACCAUGCGUAAAUAAUAUACCCUGCAAGUUAUUCUCUGUGGUUAUCAAAACCGUGCUGGGCUGCAUCAAGCAGAGUGUUAUGGGCUGAACUGUGUCCCCCCAGAACUCAGAAGUUGAAGUCUUAACUCCCAGUACUGCAGAAUGUGACUGCAUUUGGAGACAAGGCCUUUAAAGAGGUAAUUAAAUUAAAAUGAAGUCAUUAGGGUGGGCCCUAAUCCAAUAGGACUGUCUCCUUAUAAGGAGAGACUAGGACGCAGACACAUGCGUGCGAAGACACAGGGAGAAGACGGCCAUCUGUAAGCCAAGGAGAGAGGCCUGGAACACAUCGUUUCCUCAUAGCCCUCAGAACGAACAGCCCUGCCCUCACCUUGGUCUCGGAACACCAGCCUGCAGAGUUGCGAGAGAAUGUGUUGCUGUUGGUAGAGCCACCCACUCUGUGGUGCUUUGUCACACGGCCUAGCAAACCACUACAUAGCACAAACAUCUACUCGCCUCGAAACAAUGAACUCUGAUGUACAAAAUGUUCCCGAGAGACAGCUUCUGAGAUAGAUAAUGUUUAAAGAAAAGAAGGAGUGCCUUACUGAUCACUUCAUAAGAUGAGGACCCCUUCCCACUGUUACAAGACCACAGACCCCAGCAGCACAGAACUGCUCUCUACCCAACCCACGAGCCACAUGAAUCACUCAGUGACAACUUUCACACAAUUGCACCUGUUUCCGACAAUGAGCGCAACUAUAUAAUUAAAUAAAUUAAGAAGGCAAGGCCACUGGAUCAGAUAGCUUAUCCUUAGAUCCAUGAAUAUAUUUGGCAGGAACAUUAAGUCUUGAUAAAGAUGGUUCCAGAGUGUUUAAUCUGAGUUGUUGUCAGAAGCCGUGUCUGGAACAACCACUUCACUGUGAAGCCCAAAGCCCCAGUGAGACCUUGUCUGUCCCUGUGGCUGUUGGGAUGAGAGCUCUAGGGACCGGGGGAAGGGGGUGGCAGAGAGCAACUGACUUCCAUUUAAACUCAGUUGUCUGCCCAAGACUUCCAUUUCAUUGAAAUUGGCCCAUUCUGGCAUUGUCGACUAGGGAAGAAGAAUGCAUUUCCCCCAUGUCCCCCACACAGGCCAACCUGAGUGUCCGGAAAAUAGCCUCCCACAGGGGGAACCUAUGAAUGACCCUGCUAUCAAGAAACACAUCCAAUGAUCACCUGAUAUGGGAGGCAUCGACUCAUUGUGGUACUUUAACUGCCCACCCAUCUGUAGAACACAGAAGACCAGGAGCAUCAAUGAUUCCCAGCUUCUGACACAUAACGCUGAUUUUCAGAGAAAAGAAAAUUAUUUAAGCCAAAUUGCAUAACUAAUAUCUAAUCUGUAAACAUAUUUGAAACUUGGCAAAAAUCAGAGCUAGCUGGCCUUGAACCUGCAGCCCUGUGCAUCUGUGCACAGGUGGGAGUCCUGAGCAUAUUCUCUGAUGGCUGCCCAUAGGCCACGAGAUGUCAUCAUAUGGACCUGUCCAGAGGUCCACAAUUUGGGCCCUGCACAGAGAAUACAAUAAAUCGAUUGUGUGGGCUGACGAAUUACGUACUGAAGGAGAAGUUCACUCUAGGGUGGGCAUUAACCUGCAGAUGACGGCUGCCCCAGUGGAGAGGCGGUCAGACGCCGGUUCGGCAGGCCUGCUUGCCUCUGUGCUGGAGGUGGUGCAGCCCUGAGCAAAGUGCGCUCCAGUGCGGACCUCCUCAAAAGGGGUCAGGCAAGGCCAAGAAAAAAGCCCACUGACUCAAUCUCCACAUAAACAAGAUGCAAAAUUUCUUGAAAGGUCUGCAGGAAUCAAAGCACCUGUUUUGACAACUGUGCCCCAGGGCGCGCUGCCUAGCAGACAGGAGUUGGCUAAGCCGAGGAAAGAGGAGGACACUCACCGAGAACUGGACCCAAUUCUCACGUCACACCACAAGGCGGGAGAUGGAGCUCAUUUUACAGAUGAGGAACCCGAGACCUGGAUUACAUGCCUCUGCCAAGUGGGAGGAGCCAGCACUGGACAUGGGUGGUCUGACUCAAAUCCAGCCCUGUGGGCGACAUGGGGACUAAUCCCUGCCACAAAAAAAUAUCCCCCGUGCACUAGCCACCAGCGGUCAGCAAUAGCUUUUGUUUUUAGGGGAAUCAGAGGACACUCUGGUAGCCAAUUUCCAAGAUCCUCUCUUCCUGGCAUCCACCCCUCCCACACUGAGUCAAGGCUGGCCAUUAUGACUAGUAGAAUGUGGCAUGAGCACGGUGUGACCUCCAAGACUAGGUCAUAAAAAGCAGUGCAGCCUCCUCCUGGGUCUCUUGAAUCGCUCCCCCUGGGGGAGGCCAGCUGCCAUGUCUUGAGGACACUCAGGCAGCCCUGCGGAGAAGCCCACGGGGAGAGGAACUGAGGCCCCAGCCGAUGCCAGCACCAACUUUCCAGCCACUUCAGAAGUGGGUCCUCCAGCCCCAGUCGACCUUCAGACGAGUGCAGCCCCAGCCAACGUCUGGUUGCAAUGUCACGAGAGACCCCGAGCCAGACCCAUCCGGCCACACUGCUCCCGGAUUCCUGACCCACAGAAACUGGGAGGGAUAAAAAGGACUAUCAUCGCUUUCAGUGGUGGGGUGACUUUUUGCACAGGAAUAGAUCAUUAGUACACAUCGAAAUCUCUUUAUUUCCAAAUAAAUAGUCCAGUGCUGUCAGGCCUGGGCACCACCCCUGGCAGUAAGAUGGAGUGGUGAGUAACCCCCCGGCUGCUCCACCCGUCCCUCACCCAGCCACGGGGCCCCAGGAGCUCGGCAGCUCCCAGCUUCCAGUGUGACCACCUUAUGGGUUUGUGUCCACGCUUAGGAACUACAAAAGUGCUCCAUAUUCUGAUGGCCCCAUGCACACGCCUUGAGAAGAAGUGCCAUCCUUGAUUCCUGCUGAAACUACCUCCCUCAUAUCCCAAAUUGGCCUGUUCUUCUCCGCCUCAAAAAAGAAGAUAAAAGGAAAAUUUGCACUCGCCCACCAUUCAGCGAAGGCUUCUGGGUCUAGGCCGGUCCCCCUCUGCUCUCCAGCACCGCCACACAGUGUUCACCCCAGACUCAGUGUCCCUCGGACUGCCAUGUGCUUUGUUCUGCACACUGUGGAUCUGCACGCAGCCGCCUGGCUGGGUAACGGAUAUGCUGGACUGGAACAUCCACAGUGGUUUCUCCACUGGGCUGGGCGUUCUUUCUCUCCACGCGGCUUCCCCAGCAGGGUAGCUCCAUCUCUUCACAGGAGACUCAGGGCUCCUAGGGACGGUGUUCCAAGAAGACGAGCCUAGCAUGAGCUGUUGUCAAGCCUCCUUGUCCUGCUCACUAACAUCCAUUGGUCAAAGCAUGCACAGGGUCAAGGUCAUUGGGAGGGGACAACACAAGGUGUGAGUACCAGGGCUCAUCCGAGGCCACCAAAAUAAAUACAUGUAUGUUGUAAUCAUAAAUAAUAAUAAAUAUGGAUAUACAGG